GGGCAUGUGAUUUAGUGGUAUAAUAUUCGCUUAGCAUGCGAAAGGUCCAGCGUUCAAUUCCCCGCUCGUCUA
rnacentral:tRNA from 1 species